rnacentral:Y_RNA from 1 species
GGCUGGUCCGAUGGUAGUGGGUUAUCAGAACUUAUUAACAUUAGUGUCACUAAAGUUGGUAUACAACCCUCCAUGGCUAAAUUUGACUGGCUUAAA